AACAUCGACAUUUCGAACGCACAUUGCGGUCCACGGAUACAAUUCCCGGACCACGCCUGGCUGAGGGUCGUUUAUAAACUAAAAACUGCUUAUCUUUUAGAUACGAGCGAAAUAAUGAACGUUCGUCGUACUUGCUACGGCGUCGUUUGAAACAAGUUGAUAAACGUACCUUGACAUUUAAUACACACCAUCCGUCUCUCUUUCUUCUCAGUGAGGAGAGAGAGAGAUGUUGAACGAAAUCGCGUGUACAAUUCAUGUAUUGCAUUUACGUUCGUGGAUCGGUUGUCGAGUCCUGGAGCAUUUUGAAAGCACGGACCGAUAAUAUAAUCGAUUUCACGUUCGUAAUGUAAGUUUUGUACACAAAAGCCGAUUACCUUGAAUCUUUGAGGAUGGUUUAAAAGUGUUAUUAAUAUGGUUCAUCGUAUAUUGAAAUAUACUUUAUAUCGACGACCUCAGAUCAGGCGAGACUACCCGCUGAAUUUAA
rnacentral:rRNA from 1 species